AAUUUCUUUUUGUAAUACUGAUUAUUUUCUUAAGGUUUGUGACAGUUAAGCUGGACUAUUGACUUUUUUCACUUGAGAGCUGCCAGAAGUUUAGAUUCCAACCAUCUGGGUUCAGUGCAACCAUUGUCAAGGUGAGCAGAGCUCACCAUUUUCCUCCUUCUGUGCCAACCUCCUGAGUCUGGCUGCUGAGGAGCGCUCAUGAUUUCUCUCACACAAGGCCAUCAAGAGAAGAGAAGGAGCUGGUUUCAUCUGCAGGCCAAGGCUUUUAAGAAGUGAAUGUGGCUUCCCCUAGCUCUGCUUCUCCUUUCCCUGGAUGGAUACAGUUGACAAGAGGGACCUCAGUGUGCAAGACACCUAAAUCCCUGAAAUACUUCAUAGAGGAAAAUGACCAUAGAUCUGAAACAUUAUUUUAAUCAUUUAAUAAAAGGAAAAGAAACCUUUAUUUUUUGAAAUGUUGGCCCUUAUUUGUUCCUUUUACCCUGAUUCAUCAUGUUUUUGUCUAAGCAUUUCUUCAUAGCAAAUCAGAGCAC
rnacentral:lncRNA from 1 species